rnacentral:rRNA from 1 species
AUUGAACGCUGGCGGCAUGCCUUACACAUGCAAGUCGAACGGCAGCACGGGUGCUUGCACCUGGUGGCGAGUGGCGAACGGGUGAGUAAUACAUCGGAACAUUUCCUGUAGUGGGGGAUAGCCCGGCGAAAGCCGGAUUAAUACCGCAUACGAUCUACGGAUGACAGCGGGGGACCUUCGGGCCUCGCGCUAUAGGGUUGGCCGAUAGCUGAUUAGCUAGUUGGUGGGGUAAAGGCCUACCAAGGCGACGAUCAGUAGCUGGUCUGAGAGGACGACCAGCCACACGGGGACUGAGACACGGCCCAGACUCCUACGGGAGGCAGCAGUGGGGAAUUUUGGACAAUGGGCGAAAGCCUGAUCCAGCAAUGCCGCGUGUGUGAAGAAGGCCUUCGGGUUGUAAAGCACUUUUGUCCGGAAAGAAAUCCUUGGCUCUAAUACAGUCGGGGGAUGACGGUACCGGAAGAAUAAGCACCGGCUAACUACGUG